rfam:Apaloderma vittatum contig60452, whole genome shotgun sequence.
GGCUGGUUAGCUCAGCAAGUAGAGCGUAGCACUAAGAACGCUAAGGUCGCGGGUUCGAUUCCCGUUCGGUCC